ACUCUGACUAUUCCUCAGCUAUCACAUGGUGAGCUUUGAUCGUGUCAAAUUUCAUAAGCUAAAGCAUCAGUCCAGGUUAGUGCUUGGGUAGGAGACUGCCAGAGAAAAACCAAGAGUUGCAAGUG
rnacentral:rRNA from 1 species